rnacentral:rRNA from 1 species
UCAGUAACACGUAGUUCAACUGCCCUGGAGACAUGACAACCCCGGGGAAACUGGGAUUAAUCCCGUGAUAGGUCACCUCAUCUGGAAGGAGAGAUGGCUCAAAGGGGUCCAUGAGCUUCUUUUGUGGAUCCGCUCCAGGAUGGGACUGCGUUCCGAUCAGGCUGUUGGCGGGGUAAUGGCCCACCAAACCGUGUAACCGGGUACGGGCCUUAGAGAGGGGGCCCGGGAGAUGGACACUGAGAGAAGGGUCCAGGUCCUACGGGGCGCAGCAGGCGCGAAACCUUCGCAAUGCGCGAAAGCGUGACGAGGUUAAUCCGAGUGGUCCCCGCUGAGGGGAUCUUUUGUCAGCUGUAAAUAGGCAGGCGAAUAAGGGGGAGGGCAAGCCUGG